CUGGGGGGAAUCCCAGAAAUCUGGAGGGAGUUCCCCAGGGAUUGGGGGGUUCCCAGGGAUGGGGGGGUCCCCAAAAUUGGGGGUCCCUGACCUUUGACCCCGCGCUCCCCCAGCUCCAGCCCCGCUGUCCCCGGCACCUGGCCCAGGGAUUCCCGUGGCAGGCGGUGAUGUCGGACAAGGGCGGCAGCAUGGACGGCAGGACGGACAUUGUCAACGGCAGCCUGUCCAGCAGCCCUGAGGACAUGUCAGCCGAGGAGAGCCGGUGUCACUGUGCUGUCCCAUGGUGACACUGUGUGAUCCCCUGUCCCCAGGCAGUACAG
rnacentral:lncRNA from 1 species